rnacentral:rRNA from 1 species
AAUGAACGCUGGCGGCGCGCCUAAUACAUGCAAGUCGAGCGAGAAGACGUAGCAAUACGUUUGUAAAGCGGCGAACGGGUGAGGAAUACAUGGGUAACCUACCCUCGAGUGGGGAAUAACUAGCCGAAAGGUUAGCUAAUACCGCGUACGCUUCUUGGACUUCGGUUCAGGGAGGAAAGCGAUGCCGAGGGUAUCGCGCUCUUGGAUGGGCUCAUGUCCUAUCAGCUUGUUGGNGAGGUAACGGCUCACCAAGGCUUCGACGGGUAGCUGGUCUGAGAGGACGAUCAGCCACACUGGCACUGCGACACGGGCCAGACUCCUACGGGAGGCAGCAGUAAGGAAUAUUGCGCAAUGGGCGAAAGCCUGACGCAGCGACGCCGCGUGGGGGAUGAAGGUCUUCGGAUUGUAAACCUCUUUCAGCUCCGACGAAGCGAAAGUGACGGUAGGAGCAGAAGAAGCACCGGCCAACUACGUGCC